rnacentral:rRNA from 1 species
AACGAACGCUGGCGGCAGGCCUAACACAUGCAAGUCGAGCGAGGACUUCGGUUCUAGCGGCGGACGGGUGAGUAACGCGUGGGAAGGUGCCCUUCUGUACGGAAUAGCUCUGGGAAACUGGGAGUAAUACCGUAUACGCCCUAAUGGGGAAAGAUUUAUCGGAGGAGGAUCAGCCCUCGUUGGAUUCGGUAGUUGGUGGGGUAAUGGCCUACCAAGCGGACGAUCCAUAGCUGGGUUGAGAGGAUGAUCAGCCACACUGGGACGGGGACACGGCCCAGACUCCUACGCGAGGCAGCAGUGCGGGAUCUUAGACCACGGGGGCAGCCCUGAACUUCCCCGGCCGCGAGAGUGAUGUAGGCCUUAGGGUUGUAAAGCUCUUUCAGCUGUGCAGAUAAUGACGGUACCAGCAGAAGAAGCCCCGGCUAACUCCGUG